rnacentral:lncRNA from 1 species
UCAGGCCUUGGAGAAGAAAAGUGGAUUCUUGCCUGGCCCGCUUGCUGACUCUGGAGGGAUGCUCAGGGACAGCAGAGAAGAAGCUGGCUGACUGUGAGAAGACAGCUGUGGAGUUCAGCAGCCAGCUGGAGGGCAAGUUGGCCGUGCUGGGGACCCUGCCUCAGGAGUCUAGGCUGCUGCAUGAAGAACCUCAUGGGCAACUGGAACUUCUGGGUCCAGCGGCUUCCCCCUGGCAACAAGGGGGAGGUCCCCAAGAGUGGGCCAAGCUGGAGGACUGGCAGAAGAGGCUCGACAAGCAUGUGAUGGGGGCAGCUAUGAGAUGCUCGUUUCCCUGGAUUAUGCCAUCUCCAAACCGGUCAUUCUCACCCAGAUAGAGAGGGGAGAAGAGCCUUGUCCUGCAGGCCCCUGGGGCCAGGAGAAGGGGGGUGAGGAGAAGACAAUAUGUCAAAGGAAACCAAACACCAGUAUUUCUCUGAGUCCAGAGCAGGCCCCAAGUCCAGCUAGCCCUGCCCAGGAGGAACUGAAUCAAAGGCAGACACCUGAGCAGCAGCAAGAGGAAGCAACCAUGAUUCCACCUGAGCCAGGCACUGGGAUUCCAGCAAGCACCAGCCCUUUAUCACUUAAACAGGAGGAAGAAUCUGCAGAGGGAGGAGAGUUGCCACCCUCCCCUUCCACAGAUAGCCUGCUUUCUGUGGAGCCAGGAUCUUGCCAUCUGUCUCAGAAUGAACUCAUGGACCUAGAUGAGGGAGGGGAGUGACUUGCCUGUAUGUCACCCAUCCCAAACAAAUCCACCAAGGUGUGUGCUGCAGGACUCUAUGCAGGGUCCCUGGCCCCUGGCUUUUGCAGCUUGCUUCCUUCUCUGGUGUUCUUAGCUCAGCUUCCAGGAAUGAGGCAUAAGACAGCAAGCAAAGUUGAACAAUACAUGAGACACUCCUGCCCCGUGGUGUCUAUGACUAGGACCCCUGGCCUGAUCUAAUGGCACUCACAAAGACUGGGGAAGGGAGGGGAGGCCUGAACCUGGAGUAAGGCCUGGAUCGAAUGGCAGGGGAAGCCAUGAG